rnacentral:rRNA from 1 species
AGAGUUUGAUCCUGGCUCAGGACGAACGCUGGCGGCGUGCUUAACACAUGCAAGUCGAACGAAGCUUGAUUACGGAUUCUUCGGAUGAAGUAUGAUAUGACUGAGUGGCGGACGGGUGAGUAACGCGUGAGUAACCUGCCCUUCAGAGGGGGAUAGCGUUUGGAAACGAACGGUAAUACCGCAUAAUGUAUUUUGACCGCAUGAUCGAAAUACCAAAGAUUUAUCGCUGAAGGAUGGACUCGCGUCUGAUUAGGUAGUUGGUGGGGUAACGGCCUACCAAGCCGACGAUCAGUAGCCGGACUGAGAGGUUGAUCGGCCACAUUGGGACUGAGACACGGCCCAGACUCCUACGGGAGGCAGCAGUGGGGAAUAUUGCACAAUGGGCGCAAGCCUGAUGCAGCAACGCCGCGUGAAGGAAGACGGUUUUCGGAUUGUAAACUUCUGUUCUUAGUGAAGAAUAAUGACGGUAGCUAAGGAGCAAGCCACGGCUAACUACGUGCCAGCAGCCGCGGUAAUACGUAGGUGGCAAGCGUUGUCCGGAAUUACUGGGUGUAAAGGGAGCGCAGGCGGGUGAUCAAGUCAGCUGUGAAAACUACGGGCUUAACCCGUAGACUGCAGUUGAAACUGUUCAUCUUGAGUGAAGUAGAGGUUGGCGGAAUUCCGAGUGUAGCGGUGAAAUGCGUAGAUAUUCGGAGGAACACCGGUGGCGAAGGCGGCCAACUGGGCUUUAACUGACGCUGAGGCUCGAAAGUGUGGGGAGCAAACAGGAUUAGAUACCCUGGUAGUCCACACUGUAAACGAUGAUUGCUAGGUGUGGGGGGUCUGACCCCUUCCGUGCCGGAGCUAACGCAAUAAGCAAUCCACCUGGGGAGUACGACCGCAAGGUUGAAACUCAAAGGAAUUGACGGGGGCCCGCAC